ensembl:misc_RNA Metazoa_SRP Metazoan signal recognition particle RNA
GCCGGGCAUGGUGGCCCAUGCCUGUAAUCCCAGCUACUUGGGAGGCUGAGGCAGGAGAAUUGCUUGAACCUGGGAUGCAGAGAUUGCAGUGAACUGAGAUUGCGCCAUUGCACUCCAGCCUGGGUGACAGAGUGAGACUCCAUCUCAAAAAAAAGAACCACUGGACUUGGGCACAAUGGAGAUAUUGCUGACUUUUUUCCUUUUUUUUUUUUGAGACGGAGUCUCGCUCUGUCGCCCAGGCUGGAGUGCAGUGGCGUGAUCUCAGCGCACUGCAAGCUCCACCUCCCAGGUUCACACCAUUCUCCUGCCUCAG